UAUUAAAAAUUUCAUCAAUUUGUACUAUUUAAAACUAGUGUGGUUCACAAAAUAACCAGACUAUGACAUGUAACGUGCCACAUGUACCUCAUUAUAAGGUAUAGAGACUAAUUUUUAACAACAAAAAUGGGUGAAAUUUUUAAUA
rnacentral:pre_miRNA from 1 species